UUUGUUCUCUCUUUUCUUUUCUUUUUUUCUUCCUUCCUUUCUUCUUAUUCUUCUUAUUCUUCGGCGCCGAUAAAGACACGUAUUAGCCUGUAUCUCUGUAUCUCUAUUAAAAUAGAAA
rnacentral:ribozyme from 1 species